rnacentral:rRNA from 1 species
GUGGGGAAUCUUGCGCAAUGGGCGAAAGCCUGACGCAGCAACGCCGCGUGGGGGACGAAGGCUCUCGGGUUGUAAACCCCUUUCAGCAGGAACGAAAUUGACGGUACCUGCAGAAGAAGCCCCGGCCAACUACGUGCCAGCAGCCGCGGUAAUACGUAGGGGGCGAGCGUUGUCCGGAUUCAUUGGGCGUAAAGAGCUCGUAGGCGGUUUGGUAAGUCGGGUGUGAAAACCCCAGGCUCAACCUGGGGACGCCACCUGAUACUGCCAUGACUUGAGUCUGGUAGGGGAUCACGGAAUUCCUGGUGUAGCGGUGAAAUGCGCAGAUAUCAGGAGGAACACCGGUGGCGAAGGCGGUGAUCUGGGCCAGUACUGACGCUGAGGAGCGAAAGCGUGGGUAGCAAACAGGAUUAGAAACCCCAGUAGUCC